GAUGAACGCUGGCGGCGCGCCUAACACAUGCAAGUCGAACGGUUAAAGCACCUUCGGGUGUGUAUAAAGUGGCGAACGGCUGAGUAACACGUGGGCAACCUGCCCCUCGCACCGGGACAGCCUCGGGAAACCGUGGUUAAUACCGGAUACUCCGCCACCCCCGCAUGGGGGAGGCGGGAAAGCCCAGACGGCGAGGGAUGGGCCCGCGGCCUGUUAGCUUGUUGGCGGGGUAACGGCCCACCAAGGCAAUGAUGGGUAGCCGGGUUGAGAGACCGACCGGCCAGAUUGGGACUGAGACACGGCCCAGACUCCUACGGGAGGCAGCAGUGGGGAAUCUUGCACAAUGGGCGAAAGCCUGAUGCAGCGACGCCGCGUGCGGGACGAAGGCCUUCGGGUCGUAAACCGCUUUCAGCAGGGAUGAGGCCGCAAGGUGACGGUACCUGCAGAAGAAGCCCCGGCUAACUACGUG
rnacentral:rRNA from 1 species